rnacentral:rRNA from 1 species
AUUGAACGCUGGCGGCAGGCCUAACACAUGCAAGUCGAGCGGAUGAAGGGAGCUCGCUCCUGGAUUCAGCGGCGGACGGGUGAGUAAUGCCUAGGAAUCUGCCUGGUAGUGGGGGAUAACGUCCGGAAACGGGCGCUAAUACCGCAUACGUCCUGAGGGAGAAAGUGGGGGAUCUUCGGACCUCACGCUAUCAGAUGAGCCUAGGUCGGAUUAGCUAGUUGGUGGGGUAAAGGCCUACCAAGGCGACGAUCCGUAACUGGUCUGAGAGGAUGAUCAGUCACACUGGAACUGAGAAACGGUCCAGACUCCUACGGGAGGCAGCAGUGGGGAAUAUUGGACAAAGGGCGAAAGCCUGAUCCAGCCAUGCCGCGUGUGUGAAGAAGGUCUUCGGAUUGUAAAGCACUUUAAGUUGGGAGGAAGGGCAGUAAGUUAAUACCUUGCUGUUUUGACGUUACCAACAGAAUAAGCACCGGCUAACUUCGUG